CCGGCGUGCUCCCACAUUUCAGUCGAACGGAAAGGCCCUUCGGGGUACCGAGUGGCGAACGGGUGAGUAACACGUGGGUGAUCUGCCCUGCACUUUGGGAUAAGCCUGGGAAACUGGGUCUAAUACCGAAUAGGACUACGGCCUUCAUGGGUUGUGGUGGAAAGCUUUUGCGGUGUGGGAUGGGCCCGCGGCCUAUCAGCUUGUUGGUGGGGUAAUGGCCUACCAAGGCGACGACGGGUAGCCGGCCUGAGAGGGUGACCGGCCACACUGGGACUGAGAUACGGCCCAGACUCCUACGGGAGGCAGCAGUGGGGAAUAUUGCACAAUGGGCGCAAGCCUGAUGCAGCGACGCCGCGUGAGGGAUGACGGCCUUCGGGUUGUAAACCUCUUUCAGCAGGGACGAAGCGCAAGUGACGGUACCUGUAGAAGAAGGACCGGCCAACUACGUGCCAGCAGCCGCGGUAAUACGUAGGGUCC
rnacentral:rRNA from 1 species